rnacentral:lncRNA from 1 species
GCUGUCUUGUCUAUAUUUUCGAAUGUCUUAUUGAAUGGCACACACACGGGUUUAAAUGCAUGUUUUCUGUUUGUCUCUACAGUGCAGAAGAGAGAUCCCAGCUCGCUGUAAACCCUGCUUACCCUAGGACCCCGUGCUCUCUCGGCAUGUCUCGAGGGCAGGUGGAGAAGACUGUGUCUGCUCUACUCCUCCACCUGCCCUCGUGUUACAGGAAGAAGGGGGAGGGCCAUGUGUUGGCCAUAGCUUUUCAACCACGUGCCUAUGUGCAGUGCAAGCAGUAGCUAAAGAACACUCAUAAGUUACCAGUGCUCUACACUCUUAUUUUCUCCUGGAGAUUCCUCUUACUGUGCCCUGCUUUUGGAAGAAGCUCUUUUGUUUUUCAUUUAGCCAGAAGGACUUGCUGUCUUUAGCAAUCUCUCGCUACAGUAGAGCCCCAUUUGGGAUGAACGUGAAGCAGAGUGCUAGGAGCUCUUGAGAACGGACUCACCCAGACACCCACGUUGUACCAAUGGCGAGCGGUCUGAACAGCCAUCUGUCCCACCUGGCAUGUUGACCAGUUCCUGAGUAGAAAGUAUGGAAGAACCUGGCCGGUGCUUCCAGGAGCAAGAAUAUUUUCACAUCAGGGUAGCAGAAUCGGAGACAGAGACUCCUUCCCCUUUCCACGGGAGGAUGGAAAGGCAUCAGGAGAACGGGGCUGGGCGUGACCCACCGCAGCAUCGCUGUGGGCUUUGUCUCCACGGAGCCAAUUCAGAGGCGCAUGGUGGAGCAUCAGAAGCCAACACAGCACAGCAUCUCUGCUGGGCUUUGUGCCUCCCUCCGCUGAUUGUCACCACAAAGCCGGAGGCACCACACAGGGAAUGGCUGACUCUUCAAGGCAAGAAGAGUUUUGUGUCUCUCUACGGUGAGAGGAUGAAAACCUCGAGACCAGGGAACUAGGUAGACCAAGAAUCACAGUGCUGUUCAUUUCAGAAAUGGGAGCAGAAGACAAGAUUUUGGACUCACAGAUGACAACCCUGUGCCCUACUUAAAACAAAACAAAACAAAACAAAAAACAAAAACGUGAUUCAUCCAGACCCCAAAGCUGAGCAGCUGAGAGUCAACCUUAAAUACAGUAAAAGCACACCAAGGACUCUCCCAAGAAGGAUGGGACAUACAUGCCAGAUGAGCUACAAUAAAGGCUCAUCUUUCAGAGAGCUGCUGGAAUGU